rnacentral:rRNA from 1 species
UCUGACGGANCACGCCGCGUGAGCGAUGAAGGCCUUCGGGUCGUAAAGCUCUGUUGUCAGGGAAGAACAAGUAUCGGAGUAACUGCCGGUACCUUGACGGUACCUGACCAGAAAGCCACGGCUAACUACGUGCCAGCAGCCGCGGUAAUACGUAGGUGGCAAGCGUUGUCCGGAAUUAUUGGGCGUAAAGCGCGCGCAGGCGGUUCCUUAAGUCUGAUGUGAAAGCCCACGGCUCAACCGUGGAGGGUCAUUGGAAACUGGGGAACUUGAGUGCAGAAGAGAAGAGCGGAAUUCCACGUGUAGCGGUGAAAUGCGUAGAGAUGUGGAGGAACACCAGUGGCGAAGGCGGCUCUUUGGUCUGUAACUGACGCUGAGGCGCGAAAGCGUGGGGAGCGAACAGGAUUAGAUACCCUGGUAGUCCACGCCGUAAACGAUGAGUGCUAAGUGUUAGAGGGUUUCCGCCCUUUAGUGCUGCAGCAAACGCAUUAAGCACUCCGCCUGGGGAGUACGGCCGCAAGGCUGAAACUC